rnacentral:rRNA from 1 species
AACCUACGGGGGGCAGCAGUGGGGAAUAUUGGGCAAUGGGCGCAAGCCUGACCCAGCAACGCCGCGUGAAGGAAGAAGGCUCUCGGGUUGUAAACUUCUUUUAUCAGGGACGAAGCAAGUGACGGUACCUGAUGAAUAAGCCACGGCUAACUACGUGCCAGCAGCCGCGGUAAUACGUAGGUGGCAAGCGUUAUCCGGAUUUACUGGGUGUAAAGGGAGUGUAGGCGGCAAAGCAAGCCUGAUGUGAAAACCCGGGGCUCAACCCCGGGCCUGCAUUUGGAACUG